AUUCUUCUAUAUAUUCUACAAAUUACAAAUUAAUUAAGAUGGCCUCAUUUAAGCAAGCUUUUCUCUUCAUUUCUCUCUUUGUUGCAAUUUCAUCAGUUUAUCUCUCUUGGGCUCCAAGUAAGAUGCAAGUGAUGGCAUUACGAGACUUACCUGGUGAUGUUGGAGAGAUGAAAGAGAAAUUAUUUCAACUUAAUGAUAUUGUGACUUGCGGGCAUCGUUGCAAGGGUCAUAGCGAUUGCAAAGAAGGUUUUAUUUGUUCAACUUGUCUUAAAAUUGGGUCUGCGGUUUCUCAUUGCGUAUGAUAUAAGCACACUUUUACUGGUGAAAUAUCCUUGGAGCAUAAAAUAUUGUUGCGUACAAUGAAUGAACUAUUAAUUGCUUGUUACAAAGUUUGUGUAAGAAAAUAAAUAUGUAACCUUAUAAUGUUUUCCAUAUAUUGGGAAACUACCUACUCUAACAGGUUACAAACUUAAAUAUAUGUAUAUGUUGGCCGCUUGUCUUUAUCCUAUAUGCAAUUCAAUAUUUAAUGAGAUAAAAGUCAAAAUAA